rnacentral:rRNA from 1 species
CGCAAUGGGGGAAACCCUGACGUAGCGACACCGCGUGAGCGAAGAAGCCCUUUGGGGUGUAAGCUCUGUCAGUUGGAACGAAAAAAAUGACGGUACCAACAGAGGAAGCAUCGGCUAACUACGUGCCAGCAGCCGCGGUAAGACGUAGGAUGCGAGCGUUGUCCGGAUUUAUUGGGCGUAAAGAGUUCGUAGGUGGUUUGUUAAGUCUGAUGUUAAAGAUUGGGGCUCAACCCUGAAACUGCAUUGGAUACUGGCAGACUUGAGUGUGGUAGAGGCUAGUGGAAUUCCCAGUGUAGCGGUGAAAUGCGUAGAUAUUGGGAAGAACACCGGUGGCGUAGGCGACUAGCUGGGCCAUAACUGACACUGAGGAACGAAAGCCA